AGAUUCCCAUUUCCCUAGGUUAAAAAAAUGACGUAAGCAAGACGACUAAACAACCGGGAGGGACCUUGGUCUUAUCGUUAUCUCGAGGGGGGGGGCAGCCACCCUUAUAACUGGCUUUCUUCAUGGUUCUCUAAAAAUUAAGGCUUUCCUUGCGAGACGAGAAUCUUCACCAUCUGAAUCAUGACUGGUGUGUGGUGGGUGUUCUGGUGCAUUAUGGCUGCCGUCGCAUCAUCCAGGUGGAUUCUACACACUGGUAGUGGAGUUUGACGCGUCCCUGGAUCAACAAGGGUGGUGCUUAAAAGGUCAUGAAACACUAAACUACAUUUUCUGAGAUUUUAACAGAGCUGUUUUUGUCACACAUCAUAAAACACAAUGAAUCCAUUAAUUUGAAUUGCAGGAGAAAACUGGUUAAUUUUUUAGCUUUUUUCUGCUAUUUUCGUCUUCCGGGUUUAAAAUCUACAUUGUGUCGAUGCCACAGGUUGUGACUUGGCAAUAAACAAUUAACAAAAUUAGUGUCUUCUUUAAACCAGGAAGUACACUAAUGGUAAUGUGUGCACUAAAACAUGUGUCUUUGUAUUUUUCCUUUAAGGUCCUUUGGUGUGCCCUUAUUGACAAAAGAGUCAUUGACCACAUUGGAUGAUGGACAUUGUCAUAGACAUUCAACUGAGAAAUCACUCGAUUUCUCAUCACUGUGUGCUUCCCUGAAACUGAUGAAGUGGAAUACAUCAGAAGUGGGCAACAAUUGGUGCAAAGGAAGAGGUGUUCAUGAGACCCUUGUUUGUCCUGAGCAAUUAAACUGCCCACUGUUCUUCAGAUAAAUCCUCCAGGUCCUGCACAUGGACCAUUCGACAGACAUAAUGCAACGCCAGAUCUGUUUUUUUCUUCCCAGUCCAUCCACGAAGGGAUCAAGUGCUUUGUUUCUCUUUUGUAAGUUGAUUCAGAUAAAAAAGCGAAUAAAUUAAAAGUCAUAUAAAUGUGAGAUAUGAGAAGUGAUAUAAAUAAAAGGAGGUCAGGAGGUGCCCUGCUUCCCCAGUAGGAAGAAGAGAGGACGGUUUGUCACCAUAAGUUA